GCUGAGUGUAUUUUAAUUUAUAUUCAUUUGCGUUCAUUUCGUUGUUUUCUGCAUUGCUCAUUAUAAUACAAAGGUAACAAUUCCUUAUUUUAUAAUAAUGCAUGUUUGAGAAUAAGGCAUGUUUCGAUAUAGUGAACAGAUGCGUUAUUAUACAGCUUUGAAUUAAGGGUUAUGAGCCCAGCUAAAGCGAGGAACAUCAACUGCCAUACUCUGAAUCCCAUAAUGACUUCCACCUCCAUCCAGUCAUCAGGAGGAGGAAUAACCAAUGUGGUACCCGUGUUGCAACCAUCUGGUGGUACAGGUUCAACCUUAAUUGAGAAAAAAUAUAUCCUCAAUAAGUCAUAUAUUCACAAUGUACACAUUUUUCAAGAUAUAUUUAUAGAAAGAGUUUUUAAUUUGAGAUGCUACAACUUCUUCUUCUUCUUUGGCAGCGCAACAGCCCCUUGCAGGCAUCAACAGCUGACAAACGACAGCGCCUCCUAUCCAUGGCAUAUGCUUACGUACAAAAAUUUAUUCACUUGUAAUAUUUAUUUAUCAUCAUUUACCAUUAUGCUCUAGAUUUUGAUUAUUAUUCCUAGUUAAUGGCUUAAAAUUGAAUUUUUAAAAGCAUUACUAUUUAACAAAAUAUAGAGAGCUUAACAUAAUUAAAAUCUAUGAAAUUCUAAACAAUUUUGCAUAUUUUUCGCGCUGUCCUAUGCGUUUGUAAGAAUGUUUUACAUGUAUAUAUGCUGUAAUAAAGUAUCUAAAUAAAAGUGUCGAGUUCAGCUAAA